CACUAAGAGUGAGGUCAAUGGGACCAGUGAAGACAUAAAAUCUGAAGUGCAGCGUAAGUAUGCACAGACGAAGACGGAGCUAAGCCGUGUAAGAAGACAUACAAAAGCCUCUUCUGAAGGAAAAGACAGUGUAGUCCUGCAAAACAUUUGGAGGACUACUGUUGAAGAGUUUUUGAAGAAUACUGAAAACGGAAUAAAGUGAAGAUCAACAUUAAAAUGAGGUGAAAGAAAGCUAUAGUGGAGUAGAAAAAGUAUAAAGCGCAGUUAGUUAUUUGGUUUUUUUAUUAUUAUUAUUAUUAAAAAUUAAUUCAGGACUGUUGUGACCUACCAGAUUUCAGAACAUGUGUUAAUAGCACAUAUGCCACUUUGAGAACUUAGGUCCUGUAUCAUAUUUUUUCUUUAAGACUUUUUAAGAAAUAUUACCUAAACAUGUGGCUUGCUCAGUGUUUACUUGCAAGUUUUCAGUCUUGGACUCUGAAGACAGGAUUAAACGUUAGUAUUCAUGUGAAGCAGACUGGGAUUCCAUUUUUACACCUCUGCUAUCCUUAGCCUUUGGAUUUAGAAGUGACAAUAAAGUAUCUCUGACUUUCUGUU
rnacentral:lncRNA from 1 species